rnacentral:lncRNA from 1 species
AUGUCUUAUUAUUUUCAAUAAUCCAUACUUGUAGCAAUGAAAUACUAUAUAUUCCUCCACCAAGUGAUAAAUGAUUGAUUACAAAUAUCUAGGAUCUAUUUUUCUUUUCUCUAUAAAGGCCCAGAAAUACCUUGUUUACGUAUCAUUGGAAAGUGCAUUAACAUAAAUACGGCAGUAAGAAGCGGCAAUACAAAAGUGUGUAAACUAUAAAAACGGGUCAAAGUAGAUUGUCCCACACUAGCGCUUCCGCGCAAUAAUUCGACCAAGGGUGAUCCUAUUACAGGAAUAGCGAGUUUUAGAUUAAAAGUGUGUACAAGUAUUCCCAGAAGCUAACUUAUUGUGCUUGUUUGUAGUGUUUGGUCAAAAAAAGACAAGAAAGUCAAAAUCAAUUCAAAAAGGAGUGAAACUUGCACAAGUCAAAAGCUAAGUCAACUGAGCGCUACAAAGGAAAAUCAACCGCGGACGCGAAGGACCUACCACGACAGCGGUCCUUUUAUUGCGGUCCGCAGUGGCAAGAUUCAUAGAGUUGUCAUUUGGGGUUUUUCAAGUCACCGUUCACCACGGUGCUUUUAUGCGACAGCGGAGGACCUACCACGCGGUCCGUUUACCGCGGUCCGUAGAGAAGAGGUUCAGAGAAUUUGAAGUUGAGCUGGAAGAUUAAAUACCGCGGUCCGCGCUUGAUUUUAUGCGGCCGCGGUAUCCUAACCGCUGCAUCAGUCCAUUUUUCGCUGUCAGCGGUACCUUCGUCAAGGGAAUUUUUGUCCAGAAAAUUUAGUUGUGUAUAAAUACUUUCUUUUCAGAUUUUUAGGUCAUCUUAUCUUAGCUGAGCACAUGAACACCGUAUUUUAGCCUUUUGAGUAAUUUUGUAGCUUGUUUAGCAAUUAAUCUUAGAAUCUUAUCUUGUAAUUACAUUUUAUGGGUUAUUCUUCGUCUCAAUCUAUGAUUUCUUCUUCAAUUAUGGGUAGCUAAACCCAUUAGCUAGGGUUGUGGCUCAACCCUAGUGUGGGUAAUGGGCCUCCUAUUUUAGGGCUUAGAUAUUUAUGGGUAAUUGGCCUGAUUUAUGCUUUCUAUGUUGAAUUGGUGGUUGCAAAUACUAAUUUGUGCCUUUUUUUACUUAGGCUCUUCUUGAGAAAGAGAGCUUAAGUCUAGGAAAUUAAGGCCAACAAGGAAUUGAGGUGUAUUCAAGAGAUUGAUAGCCCUAAUUAAAGGAUUAAACCUAGAGAUAGUAAUACCCGACUUGAACCAACAUCGCUUGCACAAAUUGAACACCCAAUUGUGCUUGAGAAAGCCAAUUAGGACAAAGUCACUCAAACUACCGAGAGGUAUAGAGUGAGUAGCUUCGUGCAUUGGCUAUAUCACGAUCCCAACUAUAACAUUAUUUCCCUAAGUUUGAGAUCUCGUUAGAAACUCACCUAGGAGUAGGUUACUUCUCUAGUGCCUCUUUACCCAUUUAGAAAACCCUACAAAAAUAUCUACUAGCUUAAUUUCAUGUAUUAUUAGUAUAAAAUUAGCAAUAGAAAACAAACAAAAGAAUGAUUGGAAGUGUAAUCAAGAGCACUACACACUGCUAGAUUAGAUAAGAAUCCAACUCCAAAUAUAUCUAGCUCCCUGUGGAUUCGAUCCCAGCCUUCUCGGGUAAAAGAUGCAUCGACCGCUCUUGACACUCUAUAGUGGUGUAAGGUUGGCUCUGAUCACUUUUUGGUGACGUUGCCGGGGAGCUAAACGGUUUUGGCUAUCUAUCUGACUAGUUUUGUGUUUUGUUUUUCUUUCCUUCUGUGUUACUAAUUUGUGUGUGUCAUCAAUUCAGGUACAAAAUGGUGAACAACGAUAAUCUUAGAAAUGCUAUUCUGGGGGAGGAUGUAGAUGAUAAUAUUGACGAUGAGGUACCUAUAGUGCCUCAAGCUCAAAGGAGAGGCCGUCAGGCUAAUGAUAAUGUUCUAGACCCUCCCCUGCCUCCUCCAAGAGUCGCUCCUCGGGUGCUUCCAAACGAAGGAUAUGCAAGUGCAAUUGUACCACCCCGGAUCCGGAUGGGCAAUUUUCAAAUUACAAAUGUGAUGUUGACUUUGUUGGAGCAGCGAGGGUACUUAUAGGUGCUCCCAAUCAGAAUGCAUAUAAACAUCUCAAGGGCUUUGUGGAUACCUGUUGGGGAAGCAAGCAAACAAAUGUGUCAAAGGAUGCAUUGAGAUUGAGAUUAUUCCCUUUCUCACUUAGAAGGAAAGCCUUGGACUGGCUUGAGAGGCUUCCCAACCAUUCUAUCACUACAUGGGAUGAGUUGGCCGAUAAGCUCAUAGCCAAGUUUUUCUCACCGGGACAUAUGGCGGCAUUGAGGGAUGAAAUCUUAGCAUUCAAACAUGAACCAAAUGAACACCUUCAUGAAAUCUGGGAUCGAUAUAGAACUAUGGUCAAGGAAUUCCCCAACUAUGAUAUGACUGAAGAAAGCAUUAAACAGACAUUUUAUUGAGGUAUAAACACGACCAAUCAAUGUGUGGUGAACCAGUUAGCAGGGGGUAAUUUCAUGAAGCUGCCUUACGCUGAGGCUUGUGAUAUUCUUGAUGAGAUGGCUGAUACUUCUUCAGCUAGGCAAAGUCGAGCUAAUGUGUCACAGGGUGACCCCAUUGUCAUUCACUUGCACAAAGAGCUUCAUGACCAUGGCCAGGCAAUAACAGAGUUGACCACAACAAUGAACCAGUUGUCUAAAGCUCAAUUGCAACAAGUUCAAGUGCUGAGACAAGUAAAUGCUAUGGAAGGUGUAAAUAUGUUGGUUAACAAGAGGUGACAAUGAGGGCAACAAAGUCAAGGAAAUCCGGAUCAAUAUGAGCAAGGUAACAGUGGUUUCAAUCAAGAUGAUGGGUAUGAUGAGCAAAGUGAAGAAGUCCAGUACGUGAAAAACUACCAAGGACAAAGGGGAAAUGCUCCUAACCAACAACAACAGUGGAGAUCCCAAGGCAAUUAGGGGAAUCAAAGCCAACAAGGAAAUAGCAACUGGGGGAACAACAAUCAGAAUUGGGGCAAUCAGAACAACCAGAGCAACUGGAGUGGCAACAACAACAAUUGGGGAGGAAACAACAACCAAGGGGGUUGGAAUAAUAACAAUCAAAGAAAUCGGGGGCAAGGCUUUCAAAAACCUCUGAUGUAUCAACAACCAAAUAACCCGCCUUCAUUUCCGUCCCAAGUUCCUAGCUCGUCAAAUAAUGAGAUGGGAAGGAUCGAGAUGAUGUUUGAACAAAUGAUGAAAAAGAAUGCCGACUCUGAUGCUCAGUUGUCAUCCCAUAAUAAUUCAAUCUGAAACUUGGAGGUUCAACUUGGCCAAAUUUCACAAUCUUUAAAUACUCGCCCUAAGGGGGCUCUACCUAGUGAUAUGGUAGUAAACCCUAAGGGUGGGAACAAUACCGGGCAUGCAAUGGUUGUGAUUACUAGAGGCGGUCGAGGUGGUGAAGUGAACACUUCCAAGCAAAAAGAAGUUGUGAAUGAUGAGGUUGAAGUACAAGAUGAUGAUGUUCCUAUAGUUGAUGAGCAAGUGAGUGAAGAGAAUUUGAAUGCCGAAAUGAGGAUUGUUAUUCAUGAUAAUGAGGUGGAGACUCAAACUGACGUGAACCCGUCUAAGGAACACGUGAUAGACAUGCCGGAAAUGGUAGUGCCCAAGGCUAAGGCUCCCUUGUCAAGGCCUCCUCCACCUUACCCUCAAAGGCUUGCGAAGCAAAAGAAUGAAAACCAAUUUAAGAAGUUCAUAGAGAUGAUGAAAAUCUUGUCAAUCAAUGUUCCGUUGGUGGAAGCUCUUGAGUAAAUACCGUGUUACGCCAAGUUCAUAAAAGACUUGGUGACUAAAAAGAGAUCCAUGGAUUGCGAGACCAUCAAAAUGACUCACCAAGUAAGUGCAAUUGUGCACUCGAUAGCUCCAAAUCUUGAAGAUCCCGGCAUUUUCACCAUUCCAUGCACCAUUGGGAGUGCGAAUUUUGCAAAGGCAUUGUGUGACUUGGGAGUGAGCAUCAAUUUGAUUCAUUACUCUAUGUUCAAAACUUUGGGUAUUGGCCAACUGCGACCUACUUCAAUGAGGUUGCAAAUGGUGGAUAGAACAAUGAAGAGGCCGCUUGGUAUUAUUGAUGAUGUCCUUGUUCGGGUGGACAAGUUUAUUUUGCCUGCUGAUUUUGUGAUUCUUGACUGCGAUGUCGAUUAUGAGGUUCUGAUCAUAUUGGGAAGACCUUUCCUUGCAACUGGGAAGGCAUUGGUUGAUGUGGAAGCAAGGGAACUCACCUUCCGGAUGGGUGAUGAAAAAGUGGUCUUUCAUGUGUGCAAAUCAAUGAAGCAGUCGAAUAGUACUGAAGUGUGCUCUUUUGUGGAUCUUAUCACUGAGGUGAUAGUUGAUUAUACUAGUUCCAUGAUCAAUGUAGAGGAUCCUUUAGAAGUGGUAUUGUUGAACCUUGAUGUCAAUGAGGAUGAAGGUCGGGUAGAGUGUAUCAAUGCUUUACAUGGAAUGGUCUCUUACUCUUAUGAGCCUCGAAAGCUCUCUUUGGAUCUUGAGAAUAGAAAAACUCCCCCAACAAAGCCUUCAAUUGAAGAGCAUCCCAUUUUGGAGUUGAAGCCUUUGCCUUCACACCUCAGGUAUGAAUUCUUAGGCCCUAGUUCAACUUUACCUGUUAUUCUUUCCUUUUGUCUUACUAACGUGCAGGUAGAUGCCAAAUUGGAGGUGUUCCAAAGAAGAAAGAAGGCUAUUGGAUGGACUCUAGCUGAUAUUCGGGGAACAAGCCCCACCUUUUGCAUGCAAAAAAUCAUACUGGAACAUGAUGCCAAACCCUCCGUGGAAUAUCAAAGGAGGUUGAACGAGGCUAUGCAAGAGGUUGUCAAAAAGGAGGUGAUCAAGUGGCUAGAUGCAGGGGUUGUGUACCCUAUCUCAGAUAGUUCUUGGACUUUGCCGGUGCAAUGUGUAUCGAAGAAGGGUGGUAUGACUGUGGUUACCAAUGAGCAAAAUGACUUGAUUCCCACCAGGAUUGUCAGCGGAUGGAGGGUGUGCAUGGACUACCGCAAACUGAAUAAAGUGACACGCAAGGAUCAUUUUUCAUUGCCAUUUCUUGACUAGAUGCUAGAUAGACUUGCUGGGCGUGAUUUAUAUUGCUUUUUGGAUGGGUACUCUGGCUAUAACCAGAUUUUAAUUGCUCCGAAAGAUUAGGAGAAAAUAACCUUCACGUGUCUGUAUGACACCUUUGCAUUUUCUAGGAUGCCAUUUGGUUUGUGUAAUGCACCGGCUACCUUCCAGUGGUGUAUGAUGGUUAUUUUCACCGACAUAGUGGAGGACUUUCUGGAGGUAUUCAUGGAUGAUUUCAGUAUUAUGGGUGAAUCUUUUGAUGAGUGUUUGAAGAAUCUUGACAAAGUGUUGGCCUGAUAUGAGGAGACGAAUCUAGUGCUUAACUUGGGAAAAUUUCACUUUAUGGUCGAGGAGGGCAUUGUCCUCGGCCAUAAGAUUUCAAAGAAUGGUAUUAAGGUGGACAAGGCGAAAGUUGAAGUGAUUUCAAAGCUUCCUCCUCCUACUUCAGUCAAGGGGGUUAGAAGUUUUCGUGGGCAUGCGGGGUUCUACCAAAGAUUCAUCAAAUACUUUUCUAAGGUAGUUAAUCCUUUGUGCAAGUUAUUGUAAAAGGAUGCUAAGUUCGUGUUUAAUGAUGAAUGCAUGAAGGCUUUUGAACUUCUCAAGUACAAAUUGACAACCACUCUCAUUAUUACCGCACCCAAUUGGAGCCUACCUUUUGAGCUCAUGUGUGAUGCAAGUGACAUUGCGGUAGGAGCAGUAUUGGGUGAAAGAGUCAACAAGAUGCUUCACCUGGUGUAUUAUACAAGCAAGACAAUGAAUGAUGCUCAAUUGAAUUACACGGUGCCGGAAAAAGAGUUGCUAGCAAUUGUGUUUGCAACGGAGAAACUUAGGCAUUAUCUCAUGGGGGCCAAGGUGAUAGUUCAUACUGACCAUGCAGCACUCCGCUACUUGAUGACAAAGAAGGAUUCCAAGGUGAGGUUGAUGAGAUGGGUUCUAUUGCUUCAAGAGUUUGACCUUGAGAUUGUUGAUCGAAAAUGGAGUAAAAACCAAGUGGCGGACCACUUGUCCUGCUUGGAGGAGGAGGGGAGGCCUUGUGAUGGUCUUGAAAUUAAUGAUUCAUUCCCUGAUGAGCAACUUCUCUCCGUAUCUGUGAAUAGCAUGCCUUGGUUUGCGGAUGUUGCCAACUUUCUUGUGACUGGUAUUAUUCUGUAUGAGCUCUCUUCUAACCAAAUGAAGAAGCUCAAAUGGGAUAGCUUGGACUACUACUGGGAUGAGCCUUAUUUGUUCAAAAUUUGUAAUGAUGGUGUGAUCCGAAGAUGUGUUCUAGAAGAGGAGCAACUGAGUAUUCUUGAUGCUUGUCAUUCCUCUCCCUACGGUGGUCACCAUGGUAGGGCGAGGACAACUUCAAAGGUGCUUAGCUGUGGAUUUUAUUGGCCUAUAUUGUACAAGGAUGCGGGUGAUCUUGUGAAGAGAUAUGAUGAGUGCCAGAUAGCUGGCGGAAUUUCAAAGAAGGAUGAAAUGCCUCUCACUACUAUUCUUGAGGUUGACAUAUUUGAUGUGUGGGGCAUCGACUUCAUGGGACCUUUUGUGAGUUCAUGUGGCAACACAUACAUUCUGGUGGCCGUUGAUUAUGUUUCCAAGUGGGUUGAGGCCGUGGCUUUACCCAACAACGAGGGCCGGAGUGUGGUGGCUUUUCUCAAAAAGAAUAUCUUUACUCGGUUUGGCACUCCUAGAGCGAUCAUCAGUGAUGGGGGUUCUCAUUUCUGCAAUAAGGCAUUUGAUACUUUGCUUGCAAGGUAUGGUGUCAAUCAUAAGGUUUCAACCCCUUACCAUCCUCAGGCUAAUGGGCAAGUUGAGGUCUCCAAUAGGGAGAUCAAGAGCAUAAUGUCAAAGACCGUCAAUGAAAAUAGGACCGACUUGUCAAAGAAAUUGGAUGAUGCUUUGCGGGCUUACAGAACUGCUUACAAGACUCUGAUUGGUAUGUCUCCAUACCGGUUGGUGUUUGGAAAAGCUUUCCAUCUACCGGUUGAGUUAGAGCACAAGGACAUGUGGGCUUUGAGGAAGCUAAACCUUGAAUGGGAUGUUGCAGCAAAUAUUCGGGUGGAGCAACUUAAUGACCUUGAUGAGCUCCGGUUUCAUGUCUAUUCAAGCUCGUCCUUGUAUAAGGACAAGAUGAAGUACUUACAUGACAAGUAUGAUCUUGGCAAGGAGUUCAAAGUGGGUGAUUUGGUUCUUUUGUUCAACUCCCGGUUACGACUGUUUCCGGAAAAGCUUAAAUCAAAAUAGAGUGGACCUUUUGAGGUGGUGCUUGUGACUCCGUUUGGUGCUAUUGAUUUGAAAAAUAGAAAUGGUAAGAUCUUCAAAGUUUAUGGGCACAAAGUCAAGUAUUAUCUUGGNNNNNNNNNNNNNNNNNNNNNNNNNCUUCUUGGGAGGCAACUCAUGUGUUUUUCUUCUUUAUUUUUUGAUUUUCUUCUUAGUAUAGGAUUUGUUUUUGGAAACUGGUUGUGAGAUGUAUGUAGGGAUGUUUAAUGUAGUGCAGGACUAAGCUGGAAAAAUUUGUCACUCUCUGAAGUUUGGACCGCGACCGCGCUCCAUUUUUCAUGGUCCGCGGUGGCCUUACCGCAAAGGCGGAAUUUGAUGGCGGUCAGCGGUGCUAAAAGUACAAAAAUGGGGGUUCUCUGAAGUUUCAACCGCUGCUGCGGUGCAUUUUUCGCGGUCAGCGAUGGCUUACCGCUGUCAUGGAGCAUUUUCCGCUCUCAGCGAUGGUCUCAAAAUUUUAGCCCUCCUGAACUUCACAAGCGCAUACCGUGGUAGUAAGAUUGAGUGGGGCCCCUGGGCAUUUUCUAUAAAUAAGCGGUCUUAAAGCCUUUUACACUUUUCGAUAAUUUUACUCUCAAACAAAAAUAACAUUGUUCAUCCACGCCCUAAUUUGCACAAACACAAGAAUUAAACUCCAUUUUCACCACUCAUCUCACAUCUGUUAAUUUCACUCAUUCCUUAGUCUUUAAUUUUGUAAUUAUUUACUUUUAAUUGAUAGUUCUUUCUUCUUAUUCUUCUUUUUUCUUUUAAUUUUGACUUAGGGUCCCAUAGUAGUAACUAGAUUAGGUUUAAAAUAAUUUGAAUUGAUUACUGAACACCUAGUGGGAUUGAUAAUGUUGAUUUUAUUGUUAGAAUGUAUGAAAAAUUAGAAACCCUAGGUUUGUUGAGCCCUAGUUUGCCUUCUGCGGUCGUAGUUGAUUUUCAGCAGUUCGCGGUCAUAUGCUUUAUCUGAUAAGUUUAAGUCAUGCUAACCGCGGCCAGUGGUGACAACUUCCGCUGACAGCGGUGCCUCUCCGCAGCCGUGAUGGAUUUUCCGCGGUCUGCGAUGAUCAAGUUCAAAGAGGUACAUUUGAGGGUCUGUGGCCGUGGUUGAUUUUCUGCAGACAGUGGUGCAACUACCGCGGCCGCGCUCCUUUUUCCUCGAUCCGCGGUGCUAUUGAAUCAGAGAGUGGGUAGUCUAAGUCCCACACCUCCAUGGGCGCCAUGCAUUUUCCGCGGUCUGCGGUGUAGCCUUCGCGACCCCGGUCCUCGGUCUGUAAAUUUUAAUUUCCAAUGCAUUGUAAAUUAUUCUACUAUUUUCUUCACUGCUUCUUAUAGCAACUAACAAUGUUCAACUAAUUCUACUUGCAGACAAUGGUUAAAUCUAGAGGAGGUGGUGACAAACAAAAAGGGAAAGCGUAGUCCUCCCGCGUAGGGGAUGAGGACAGAUUAAAUUGACCCCAGCAGUCUGAAAAUCAAUUGGGGAGAUCAGGAAGAGCACCAAAGCUGCAAAUAGAGCUGCUUCCCAUUCUGAGAGAAGUGAGUAUUUGCCCUCCCGGGAGGUAUCAAAGUCUGAUUCAGUGCCAAAAUAUGUACCCAACUUCCCGGAGAGGCAUAGGUUGAGAGAUGAACCCACACCUCCAACCUCUCCUACUGCUUGUGCUUCUAUUCAUGUUUCUUCUAAGUCGUUUGAGGACUCAGCAAAGAGCAGUGAUAGUUCAGCUUCAACCUUACCUACACCUUCCUCACCUAGACAAGAUGUAGCUGCUGGGGUACCGGAUAAAGAGGGAGGGGUGAGACCCAAAUCGGGGGUGUGGAAAGAACAAGAAACCCUGAAGUGUGGCACAAGAGGUUUGUCAGUGAGCUGGCUUAUCACAAGAUUCGGGAGUGGUGGCCUUUAAGGUCACUUAUUCAUGAGCGUCAGUUCAUAGAGCGGGAUCUUCUACCUCACAACCCCAACGUGAAACAACAUUUCUAUGAACGAGUAGGAUGGGAUUACUUCACUAGUAGGGUGUCGGAUGCAAAUGAGCACUUAGUCAAGGAGUUCUACGCUAAUGCCUCCCACAUCAAGAAGGAUACAAAAGUGACUAAUGUGCGAAACUUGAAGUGAAGUUUGAUGGGAAAACAAUCAAUGAAUACCUGGGUUUCAAUGAACAAGAUGAGACAUUAUACUUUGAGAAGGUGGUGAUGGAUGAGGCAUCCCGUAUGUGGUUGGCAUCAUACCUGGCUAUCCCGGAUACCACCCCAGAAUGGUUGACAGCAGGGGUUCCUAUCUUGAGAAACACCCUAAACUUUGAGGCAAAGGGUUGGGAGACUUUUGUAUGCAGCAGGCUAGACCCCACUACCCAUGAAAACACAUUGUCGGUCUCCAGGGCAAAAUUAGUGGUGGCUAUUAUGGCGGGGUUGUCAAUCAAUGUCGGGAAUGUUAUGUCUAGGGUGAUCACCAGAGUGGUCAAUGAGGGUGAUAGAUCAUACCCCUUCCCGAACUUCCUUAUCAUGUACUUGGAAGAUCAGGAGGUGGAGAAAAGAAAAUUUGAUGUCAAGGUAAAAAGGAAAAUGCCCUUUUCAUGGUACAGCCUCAAGGGUCUAGACAACCCCAAAGCCAAGGGAUCCAAGGGCAAAGCUACUACUUCUAUUGGCCAGUAUGAAGAGCCAGUAGUGGUAGUCACUCCUUCACUGUCUCCCACUGCCAUGCCAGAUCCUGCCUCCGGACCAUCUACCUCCUUGCCUCCAGACAUUCCAUCCUCCUCAGCAUACCCAUUGAUUGCCCACUGAUUGAGCCAAACACUCUCCAGUAUCAACAACUAGAUGCAGGCAGCAACUUCUAAGCUGUCUGUGCUAUCUAGCUCAGUGGAAGCCCAGUCAGUGCCCCCACAGCCACAGGUGCCAGUUUCGGUAGAGGAGUCUCUCAAGGAGCUUCUAGACAACUAGAAGAAGCUCCUGGAGAACCAGAAGAUUAUCAUGGAUGCUCUUGAUGAUCAAGGAAAAACACUUCAGGAGCUGAGCAAGUACACAAAGAAGUUGAAGAAGACUCGGGCCUCGAAGGAGUCUGUGAUGGAAUUAAGGAGGGGAAGUGGAGAAGAUGAAGAUAGCUGACCAUUUACCAUUGGAGCUACUAUUGCAUGAUCAGUCUCCAGCGGCUCACACAGAGCAGGAGAUUGAGAGAGCGCCCAAGAUGAGGAGAGUGAUACCCUAGGUGGAUGAUGUAAAGAUUGAGCUUGAGGAGACUGAGGGAGUUGCUUCUGGUCAGCCACAGGACCCCGAGACAGCUGCUCCGGGCAUCCAGCCAUAGGACCCUAUGCUACCACAUGACUCAAUGCAGAUAGGAGACCCAUAGGGAGUUUCUUUUACUCUCUACCCUUCUUUUUGAGCUUAUUUUUGGUUAGUUAGCAUUAGGGACAAUGCUAGCUUUCAUUUGAGGGGGUGUCCCUACUUUGAUUUUGAUGAUUUGGUAGUUGGUUUGUAAAUAUGAUACUAUUUUCUUUCUUUAUGCUUAUUUUUCACUUUUGAUUAGUAUAUAACUUUACCUUUUAUUUUACUUUUCGUUAUUUUUCGAUCUUGGUAUGUAUAUAAAGUUACUCUCUCAUGUAUAUAUUCAUUCCCUCUUAUUGUAUAUUCAUCUAAACCCCCUAUUGUACAUAUUUAGUUUACUUUCCGCAUUUUACUUCAUAUCUUCUUUUGCAAUUUUCCUUAAUAGUAUAACUUCUUAUUUUAUUUAAUAGCUUCUUUUUGGCUCGUAGCUUCGUAUUUUACAAUUUUGUGUAGAUCAAUAAGCCUUUGGUUUUUUUAAUACCACGGUUCUUUCUAAAGGUGAUCGGGUGGCUCUUCCCGAUGAUGGAUGACAUGACAACCUUCUUAAGGGUUUGAGUAUGUUUUGUUCUUUUUGUUUUUGUGUAAAUAGUAGUUAGUGAGCACUGGUGCCUCAGGCAAAGCUUCACUAGGGCUUAACACAUUUGCCUUUGAUCUUAUGGUUAAAAAUAAAUUGUUGUGUAUAGGAUGGUGAUAGUUGUGACCUUGAGACUCUUUUAUUGGCUAAACAAUCAUCGAGUGGUUUUUCGGAACUAUUUGUGUUGCUCAAAUCUUAGCUAAGGUUGUCAUGGGCCCCCGACUCUGUUUCUUUAGAAAUCCUAUAGCUUGUGUGGUGAGGUUUUGAAUUGCAUGUCCAAGUCCCCUGCCAAUAAAUCUAGAAUUUGCCCUGAAUGUUUGUCUAGGCGAAAUCCUAAGUGUAGCUCGACUUGAGAAGUGAUUAUAGGCUCUCCUUGAUCCCAAUUGAAACUUGAAAACAUCCAUAGCCUACCAAUGAUGAUAUCCCUAGUCAACCGCGUUGUGCCUUAGCCCUUAUUUUUUCAAUAACCAUGAUACGAGCCUUUAUCCGUUCUAAAAUGAUCCUCUCUUGGCACCUUAUCUUUCCUUAGCACAAGGCAAAAGCAUAAGUUUGGGGGGAGAGAUGAGGAAUGCAAAAGUGAUAAAAGAUACAAAAUGAAGAAAAGGAAAGGCAAAGAAAAAGAAAAAGAAAGAAAAGCCAAAAAAUUCAAAAAGAAAGGGAACAAUGUAGAAGAAAUUAAGGGAUUCAAUGAAAGAAAAAAAUGAAAGGCAUGGAAAGAUUAAAAUGGAGAAAAAGGAUUGAAAUGAACAAGAAAGAGUGAUAGUGUGUCUCUCUAACCCCUAAAGAAUAAGUAAAUGACUCAAAGAGUCAAGAAAAUAUGUGCCAAAAUGAAGCAAAUGAAGUACUUAAGGGAAGAUGAAACCUUCUUAGACCAAUAUAUCCUACCUUGAACCAAAAGCCUUCAUUACAUUCCCACAAAAGCCCUAUAUGAUCUUGAGUUGAGUGAGCUUACAUUAGUGGUGACCUACGUAAGGGGAAAGCUUAUGGUACUUAGAGCAGAACUUGUAACCUUCCUUUGAGAGGGAUGAGUGUGUUUUCCACAAUCCUCGUUCUGAGUGUUGCAAUAUAAAAGUGAGGUUUGCUUGUGGAGAGUUGAGGGGUAUGAGUUUGGGUUCCACAACGACCAAUGUAACAGAAAGAGUUUCCUUGAUGAGUUGAGUCAACUCUUGAUACUUUGUGUCGCACUAUAGCCAUGGUGCUAAAAGAUUGUGUAUUGUUGAUAAUGUAUUUGAGUUGAGGGUAAUUGUUAGUCCCAAUUGAUUCUUGAUGAGGUGUCUUUAGAACAGCUGAAAUUUCCUUUCUUUUAUCUUGAGGAGAUGGGAAUUACUUUGUUUGCUUAAGGACAAGCAAAAGCUUAAGUUUGGGGGAGUUGAUAACUAGGGAUUCUAGUCUAUUUUAUGCUCCUUUUUUCUUGAGUUUUAGAUUAAAAGUGUGUACAAGUAUUCCCAAAAGCUAACUUAUUGUGCUUGUUUGCAGUGUUUGGUCACAAAGAGACAAGAAAGUCAAAAUCAGCUCAAAAAGGAGUGAAACCUGUACAAGUCAAAAGCUGAGUCAACUAAG